UUUGCUAUGGCUCAGCCCGUAGAGCAUGGUGCUUACAACACCAGAGGUCAUGGGUUUGAUUCCCACAGAGAGAAA